rnacentral:tRNA from 1 species
UGGUUUAGUCAGUAAAGCACUUGUCUAGCAUACAAGAGUCGUGGGUUCAAAUCCCAC